UGGGGAAUCUUGCGCAAUGGACGAAAGCCUGACCCAGCAACGCCGCGUGAAGGAUGAAGUAUUUCGGUAUGUAAACUUCGAAAGAAUAGGAAGAAUAAAUGACGGUACUAUUUAUAAGGUCCGGCUAACUACGUGCCAGCAGCCGCGGUAAUACGUAGGGACCAAGCGUUGUUCGGAUUUACUGGGCGUAAAGGGCGCGUAGGCGGCAAUUCAAGUCAUCUGUGAAAUCUCCGGGCUUAACUCGGAACGGUCAGAUGAUACUGCUUUGCUAGAGUGCAGAAGGGGCAAUCGGAAUUCUUGGUGUAGCGGUGAAAUGCGUAGAUAUCUGGAGGAACACCGGUGGCGAAGGCGGCAUCCUGGACCGGUAUUGACGCUGAGUGAGCGAAAGCCAGGGGAGCAAACGGGAUUAGAUACCCCCGUAGUCCCUGAGCGGGCUGGCAAGGCGCAU
rnacentral:rRNA from 1 species